rnacentral:rRNA from 1 species
GACGAACGCUGGCUGCUUUCUUAACACAUGCAAGUCGAACGGAAAGGCCCUGCUUUUGUGGGGUGCUCGAGUGGCGAACGGGUGAGUAACACGUGAGUAACCUGCCCUUGACUUUGGGAUAACUUCAGGAAACUGGGGCUAAUACCGGAUAGGAGCUCCUGCUGCAUGGUGGGGGUUGGAAAGUUUCGGCGGUUGGGGAUGGACUCGCGGCUUAUCAGCUUGUUGGUGGGGUAGUGGCUUACCAAGGCUUUGACGGGUAGCCGGCCUGAGAGGGUGACCGGACACAUUGGGACUGAGAUACGGCCCAGACUCCUACGGGAGGCAGCAGUGGGGAAUAUUGCACAAUGGGCGGAAGCCUGAUGCAGCAACGCCGCGUGCGGGAUGACGGCCUUCGGGUUGUAAACCGCUUUCGCCUGUGACGAAGCGUGAGUGACGGUAAUGGGUAAAGAAGCACCGGCUAACUACGUG